UAAAAACCAUAAUAGUCUUAAACUCGACUACGGUUAAUCGUCUCUAAGGCUGGACUAGUCGGCGCGUAUCGAAAAAAUUCCUAAGUUGAAAAUUUCAAGGUAAGUUUUUUUUUUUAUCGGGGGGCGUCUCGAGAUGGGAACGUGAGCCCCGCGGACCGAUUAUUGAAAUUGAUGGACAAAGCUAUAGACAGAGAAGACAUAGGGAGUAUAGAGCGAUCCUAUUGGUUGACAUGGUUGGUUCUUAUAGACUAAGGAAGAAAAUGAUGGAUUAACUGUCGGGUCUUUAGUGGGUUGCCGUUAGUUAGUCUAUUACCUACCUCCUAUGUCCAUUGGGGCGCUAGUAAAUUCCGCCGAAAAUGGGUAAAUUCCGCCGAUUUUCCAUCCACCGAAAGUGUAAAUUCCGCCGAUAGGUGCCACCGAGCGAGUGUAAAUUCCGCCGAUGGAGGAAAAUCAAAAUGUUUUUGGAACGGCACUCAUAUUCGGCAAGAGCAUCAAGUUAGGAUGUUAUCUGUUUGAAGGUAGAUCUGCGCUCAAAGCCGAGGAGUUUCACUUUGAUGAUAUCAGUAAAACUGAUAGCGGAUGGUUUGGGACGGAACGCGGAAUGUACAUGAACUCUGACUUCAGUAGCCGAAAAGAUGGAGCCGAAAGUGUCCGUUAUGACAAGUGAGAAGGGGAAAUUUAUUAUUGUGCGGGACGGUUUUAAAUUUUAUAGAAAGGCUGUGUACGUCCGGAUUCAAAGUGUCGGGUCUCCAGCCAAGCUUCGGUCAGACGUCAAAAGGCAAAAAGCACACCCAGACAAUGCAAUUAUGAAAUUUAAAAUUCACCAAGACCGUUUCAAAUUUGUUAAAGAAGUUUCAUACCGUUUCAGCACAGUGAAAAAGUGAAAAACUGUUAGCACACCUAGACAAUGCAAUUUUAUUUCUUGACGUGGGGCUCUCUACACCCUAAAUGUUUAUUUUCUACGCUCUCCUCUCCGACUUCAACUCAUAGACAUAGAGGUAAGCAAAUUUGCACUACCUACAAAUCCUGUUUCAAAAACAUUGACCGGCGGAAUUUA
rnacentral:lncRNA from 1 species